UCCCGACUAGUAUAUCGGUUGAGUACACGCGCCUGUCAUACAUUGUGGUUCGUUCGCGCGAAAGCUGGGUUCGACUCCCAGGUCGAGAG